CACCACCAUAAUCUGUCGCUAAACGCAGCCAUGAGAGAACUGCCUCCUGACUGUAGGACUUCAGGUGUGAGGUUUCAGUCAAGGAAGCUCCUGCAGAAUGUGCUCACAAGGCCAGAGCAUGCACUAGUGUUGCGUCCAGCGGCAGCAGCGGGAGGGAACUACGAGAAGUCUGACGCCGGGGUGGGGGGAAGCCUGAAGAAGCAGGCGCCGGGCUGCAAGUCCAAUCCGAUACAAAAUUAGUAAGCAAACGCUGAUUUAUGAGUAGAAAAUUAGACACUUUUCUGUUUUGGCAACCUGGAAUUUUGGGUUCAUAUAUCGUCACAAUACCCAAUUUUGUUUUGCACUUUGUACUAAUAGAGAUAGAGAGUAUAAAGCUAGAUACAAAAAGAUAUAUAUUCGUAGUUUAUUUUUCCUUUUCUCCCACUUGUUUGUAUUUUUGCUCUUCUGCCACAUUAGCCUUCGAGGCUAUCACAACUUUAGCAAUCUAUGAAGCCCACUGAGCGAGAUUGGGUUGGAAAUGCAAAUCGAGUUCUCUA